UACGUAGGCAGCGAGCGUUGUUCGGAGUUACUGGGCGUAAAGAGUGCGUAGGCGGUUUUCUAAGUUUGGUGUGAAAUCUCCCGGCUUAACUGGGAGGGUGCGCCGAAGACUGGAAGGCUUGAGUAUGGGAGAGGUAAGCGGAAUUCCUGGUGUAGCGGUGAAAUGCGCAGAUAUCAGGAGGAACACCGAUGGCGAAGGCAGCUCGCUGGGACGGUACUGACGCUGAGGCGCGAAAGCGUGGGGAGCAAACAGG
rnacentral:rRNA from 1 species